AUUUACAUGCAAGUCGUACGCUUCUUUUUCCACCGGAGCUUGCUCCACCGGAAAAAGAAGAGUGGCGAACGGGUGAGUAACACGUGGGUAACCUGCCCAUCAGAAGGGGAUAACACUUGGAAACAGGUGCUAAUACCGUAUAACAAUCGAAACCGCAUGGUUUUGAUUUGAAAGGCGCUUUCGGGUGUCGCUGAUGGAUGGACCCGCGGUGCAUUAGCUAGUUGGUGAGGUAACGGCUCACCAAGGCCACGAUGCAUAGCCGACCUGAGAGGGUGAUCGGCCACAUUGGGACUGAGACACGGCCCAAACUCCUACGGGAGGCAGCAGUAGGGAAUUCGGCAAUGGACGAAAGUCUGACCGAGCAACGCCGCGUGAGUGAAGAAGGUUUUCGGAUCGUAAAACUCUGUUGUUAGAGAAGAACAAGGAUGAGAGUAACUGUUCAUCCCUUGACGGUAUCUAACCAGAAAGCCACGGCUAACUACGUGCCAGCAGCCGCGGUAAUACGUAGGUGGCAAGCGUUGUCCGGAUUUAUUGGGCGUAAAGCGAGCGCAGGCGGUUUCUUAAGUCUGAUGUGAAAGCCCCCGGCUCAACCCGGGGAGGGUCAUUGGAAACUGGGAGAUUCUUGAGUGCAGAAGAGGAGAGUGGAAUUCCAUGUGUAGCGGUGAAAUGCGUAGAUAUAUGGAGGAACACCAGUGGCGAAGGCGGCUCUCUGGUCUGUAACUGACGCUGAGGCUCGAAAGCGUGGGGAGCAAACAGGAUUAGAUACCCUGGUAGUCCACGCCGUAAACGAUGAGUGCUAAGUGUUGGAGGGUUUCCGCCCUUCAGUGCUGCAGCUAACGCAUUAAGCACUCCGCCUGGGGAGUACGACCGCAAGGUUGAAACUCAAAGGAAUUGACGGGGGCCCGCACAAGCGGUGGAGCAUGUUUUAAUUCGAAGCAACGCGAAGAACCUUACCAGGUCUUGACAUCCUUUGACCACUCUAGAGAUAGAGCUUCCCCUUCGGGGGCAAAGUGACAGGUGGUGCAUGGUUGUCGUCAGCUCGUGUCGUGAGAUGUUGGGUUAAGUCCCGCAACGAGCGCAACCCUUAUUGUUAGUUGCCAUCAUUUAGUUGGGCACUCUAGCAAGACUGCCGGUGACAAACCGGAGGAAGGUGGGGAUGACGUCAAAUCAUCAUGCCCCUUAUGACCUGGGCUACACACGUGCUACAAUGGGAAGUACAACGAGUCGCGAAGUCGCGAGGCUAAGCUAAUCUCUUAAAGCUUCUCUCAGUUCGGAUUGUAGGCUGCAACUCGCCUACAUGAAGCCGGAAUCGCUAGUAAUCGCGGAUCAGCACGCCGCGGUGAAUACGUUCCCGGGCCUUGUACACACCGCCCGUCACACCACGAGAGUUUGUAACACCCGAAGGAC
rnacentral:rRNA from 1 species